AUCCAAGGUUGCCACUGUCGGUGA
rnacentral:siRNA from 1 species